ACAUUACAUUAAAGAUUUUUGUUUCAUUGGAAUGAUACAGAGAAGAUUAGCAUGGCCCCAUGCAAGGAUGACACGCAAAUUCGUGAAGUGUUCCAUAAAAAA